rnacentral:tRNA from 1 species
UCCCUGGUGGCUCAGAUGGUAAAGAAUGUGCCUUCAAUGCAGGAGACCCAGGUUCGAUCCCUGGUUGGGAAG